GCCGUUCCAGAAUCUCAGCAUAAGCCCCCAAUUCAGGAAUAUUCUGGGAUUCUAAAAAUUGGCAGAGUUUCUCUUCCACUUGGUCAAACUGCGUCACAUGAUCGGUCUAGGUUUGUUGAAACAAGCACAUCUACACGGUUACUUGAGAAAAUAGCUCGCUCUGUCGAGUACAACGAGCCAGUUCUCUUAGUAGGAGAAACAGGGACUGGGAAAACAACACUAGUUCAAAAUCUUGCACACUGGAUCGGACAGAAACUCACU